rnacentral:rRNA from 1 species
GCAGCCGCGGUAACACCGGCAGCUCGAGUGGUAGCUGUUUUUAUUGGGCCUAAAGCGUUCGUAGCCGGUUUGAUAAGUCUUUGGUGAAAGCUUGUAGCUUAACUAUAAGAAUUGCUGGAGAUACUAUUAGACUUGAAGUCGGGAGAGGUUAGAGGUACUACCGGGGUAGGGGUGAAAUCCUAUAAUCCUGGGAGGACCACCUGUGGCGAAGGCGUCUAACUGGAACGAUCUUGACGGUGAGUAACGAAAGCCAGGGGCGCGAACCGGAUUAGAUACCCG